CCAGGAUUGGGUCUGCCUUCUGAUCUCGGCUUUUACGCGUGGCCGUUCUCCCUCUCUUGACCGCGAGAGUCAGUCCUGAGCGCAGUGUGGAGCUUGGACAGUUGUAAGAUGUGUUGUGUGGGCUGAAUUAGUUGUUGUACAAUUCCUGUCUAUCUCAUCGAAAACAGCUUUCAGCGGCCCCUCGUGCCAAGUUUGAGUCCAAUUAAACUACAAUGAAAGCCCUGAAGAUGGCUGCCUGCAGGGAAGGAUCCGAAGCCACCCGAGGUCUCAGGAAGUGUUUCUGACCACAGAAAUGGAAAAUGCUCGAGAAGAGCACAACUGGCCCUGCAACAAAACUAAGGCCCAGGUGGUGAGAACGGCCCCAGCUGGCUGAGAACCGAAGGUCAAAGAGGCCCCGGGUCUGGCUGAGUGUGCCAAACUCUGAAUCCCAGAAGCUUAAAAUGUAAUCAGAGUUCCUCCUACCAGCUCCGGGAACCACGGAUCUCCUAGUAUUCCUUAAGGGAAAAAAAAAAUUACAGAAAAAGCCCAACAUAAAACUGAAGAGAUCAGUUUAAUGAUAUAUGUGUAAAAAAUAAUCAAGAUCAAAACACGCUUUCAUUUUCCUGGCAAUCUCAGAGGGCACAGCCAGGCAUUCACGACCUCGAGAAUAAUGAAAACAAAGCGUAUUCUGCAUCGUAUCAACAGUGAGAUUCAAGACUGCGGGACGCAGUGCUGUUUGGAUCUCAAGCCCAAGUGGGAGACAGCGGAUCCAGCCCACGGCUUGUUUUUUCCAGCGAUGUCCCUCAGAAUUUCUCCCAUUGAAGAAAAGCAGAUUCCCAACCAGAAAUAACAAACCUUUCCAACAUAAAAGAUAAAUACGCGGCCCCCUGCUUCCGCCUGCCCUUCGCCUGGUACCUCUGACACCAGCAGCUUAGCAGUAAUAUUUUGCUAACUAGCAAAACUUGGAUUCAUUUCAUUUGCAGAUGGGGACCCCUAUUGGUAUGAAAAAAAUCCCAGGGAAAAUGGAAACGAAGCACAGUCUUCUUAACCAAAUAUGCCUGAACCUACCAAUAAAAAGACCCAAGACCCGCAAUUCCAGUUCACCAAGAAAAACAGAGUUGAAAUCCUUUGCUCCGACCUGCACCAGCAUCCCUCCCCGGUCCCAGGAAAGCCUGACCGCCCGCCCUCACCCCCAAACCAGGCUCUGAAGUUCACCCCCUCGCACCCCCUGCAGGAGCGCGCACAUGCACGCGCACGCUUUCCUCCAGCUGCCUGUGUCACCGGGGCUGCACUCCAUCUCUCUGCUGACAGAUCUCCGUGUUGGGCAGGAUUUCCAAUCCUUCAUGACUAUCUAUUUGUCACUGCAGGUGAGUGGUGGCACUCAGCCUGAUCCCCAGCCACUUUCGCAGUUACUUAUCUGUCUUUAUGGAUUCAUCCUGUGUGUCAAGCCGCCGCAUAACAGCAUUACUGUCAGGGUGACAAAACUGUCCCCAGAGUGCCACAAAUGAUUCUCUCUCCUUCUGGCUGCUAGCAGGGGAAACAGAACAGUGACACGGCCUCGCCUUCCUCAUCCUUCUCCGGCCCCAGCCUGGUUCAGCACCUCCUCCCCCACGGAGGCCCAGCUCAUGGGGGGCUCGGGGCAGGGCAGCCUGCAGGGGCUCCAAAAAUGAUAAAGGAAAAAAGGGGGCAAGGCCAGCGUGAACCGCAGUGUCUCCGGCAAGGCGCCCAAGCUCUCGCCGUCUCCUGCUCCCAGGUGAGGCGCCCAAGUGUUUAACACCUGUCACCGAGGAAGCCAGAGAGGAGGUCCUCCCUCCUCCUCGACUCCCGAGCACACAUCCGGUACUCAGUGAAGGGACCUCAAGGCUGCUAAGUGCCAGCCCUGGAAAUCCCAACAGCAAUGGGGGAGAUUUUAACACUGUCACUCUUUUUAGAGCAGAAAUAUUAGCUGGAACUGAUCGUCAAUAAUGAUGGCGAGGGUACAGUGGGUGUGCCAAAUGAUUUGUAAUCGUUUUCACGAGCUGACGGCUUCAAAAACACAGCAGCUCAUUUAUUUCUCUUCUGUUUUUAAAGGGAGCCCCCAGUUCCAUUUUCCUCCACAGGCCUCCUUCCGAAUGUAAUUCCGACAGCAACGUGGUGCCCGUGGCCAUGUUGCUGGGGAGGAAGGUUUCUGCGUUUCCUUGAUUGGCAUCCCACAACAACAGGCCCAAACUAACCCAUCAAAACAAACACUGCAUUUUUAUGGCCACCUGAAACUCACUUGAGGACCCUGCAUGAAGACAUGCUAGUCCUCAACCAGGGCCACCUUCUAAUGCCACUCCACGGGUUCACAGAUCCCUCCAAAAUCAAGGUCAGUGGCGCAUAGCUCUGUUCACCAGGGCAGCCACACCGUCUUUGGGGGCUUCAGUAAGUGUUAGAAAAACAGAUUGUCAACAAGACACUCUACUCACCGGGUGGGGCCGGGGAUGAAGUCUGGUUGGAAGGCUUUGCUUUCCCUUUGAAAGGUCAACCGAAAUACAAGUGCACACGUGCGGGCGCGCGGGCGCACACGCACACACACACACGCGCAUGCACACGCGCCAGUUCAAGCGUGCCUCAAACUCCGCUUUGUUCUUAUCCUGAUGAGCGCUCACCGUCUGAGUUUUUUUAAAUAGGUUCAAUCUGAUUUCUGACACUGGAAAAACAAACCUAAAAGCAAUUUAGAAAACACCUGCCCGUGAAGUCAGAUGGCAAAAUAUCUAAAGCUUCUCUCGAAAUCUGUGACCUCAGAGGCUGACAUGGUUUGAUGGGAAAUUUAAUGUAAUAGGCUGCGAAAGCCAAGAGGCCUGUUGUCAGCAAUGAAGUCUGAAAGUUAGCAGAAUUAAUAACACUGUACAAUGGAAGAGCCCUCAAGGGACAAGGCUGCAGAACCAGGGCAGUGGGGAAAAAUGACUUUUGAAGUCAUUUCACUAUGACAUUCUGUCAUCACUGCUAAACGGAAAUAAAAAAUCAU